rnacentral:rRNA from 1 species
ACUAGGGUAUAGCCCAGAGAAAUUUGGAUUAAUCCCCUAUAAUAUCAAAAUUCCGCAUGGUUUUUUGAUUAAAGCUUCGGUGGUAAAAGAUGAGCAUGCGUCCUAUUAGUUUGUAGGUGAGGUAACGGCUCACCUAGACUACGAUAGGUAGGGGCCCUGAGAGGGGGAUCCCCCACACUGGUACUGAGACACGACCAGACUCCUACGGGAGGCAGCAGUGAGGAAUAUUGGACAAUGGACGAAAGUCUGAUCCAGCUAUGCCGCGUGCAGGAUGACAGCCCUACGGGUUGUAAACUGCUUUUAUACAGGAAGAAAAAUCCCGACGUGUCGGGGCUUGACGGUACUGUAAGAAUAAGG